CUGAAGAAUCUGAUCAGUGUCCUGGUGUUAGUCCUGGACUCCAGUACGUAGCAUUCGCAGAUUGUUGUAGGCUGCUUUGUAUAAAAUGGAAAUUCCAUGAGGUCACAAUUUAAACGUCAGAAGGCACUAUGAGACAUUAUAGAGUAUCUCAAGUAAAAGAAAGCCAUCAAUAAUUAUAUGGUUGUGAGAGUUGAUUGAAACUUCUGAAGAUUGUAAUCAAUUAUCAACAAUCCUUCCACCCAUCCUUUUA